AGCCUUCCUAGAUCCCUUCCACUCGGUUUCUCUCUUUUCAGUAGCACCGGCAGCACCAGUGUGUGAGGGGAGCAGGCAGCGCUCCCAGCCAGUUCCCUGAUCCUGCCAGACCACCCAGCCCCUGGCACAGAGCUGCUUCACAGGCACCAUGAGGAUCAUGCUGCUAUUCAUCCUGACCUUCAGCCUAGCUCAGAGCUUUGGGGCUGUCUGUAAGGAGCCACAGGAAGAGAUGGUUCCUGGUGGGGGCCACAGCAAGAGGGAUCCGGAUCUCUACCAGCUGCUCCAGAGACUCUUCAAAAGCCACUCAUCUCUGGAGGGAUUGCUCAAAGCCAUGAGCCAGGCUAGCACAGAUCCUAAGGAAUCAACAUCUCCUGAAAAACGUGACAUGCAUGACUUCUUUGUGGGACUGAUGGGCAAGAGGAGUGUCCAGCCAGACUCUCCUACUGAUGUGAAUCAAGAGAACAUCCCCAGCUUUGGCACCCUCAAGUAUCCCCCAAGAGCAGAAUGAGGUAUUAAAGCUCAUAGAUUUGCCCUGAAAUACACUGCCAGUGCCCAGCACACUGUCGGUCAAACACAAAGACACUUAGAGGCACGUGUGUGUGUGUGUGUGUGUGUGUGUGUGUACACAUCCUCCCAUCUUUCAUCUUCUUCCUCUGGAUCAUGGACCUCAGCUGACUAUUGAGCAGGACACUCCACUUCUGGACUCCUGGACUGCAUUAGGAAGACCUGUUUCCUUGUCUCAAUCCCCAGAUGCACACACUCCUGUUACCCUUUCUCUUCCCUGUUCUUGUAACAUUCUUGUGCUUUGACUCCUUCUCCAUCUUUUCUACCUGACCCUGGUGUGGAAACUGCAUAGCAAAUAUCCCCAAUCCCAAUGAGCAUUGACUAUAGAAUCCCCUACAGUUCCUGUAGUGUCCUACAUUAAAAAUAUAAUGUCUCUCUCUACUCCUCAACAAUAAAGGAUUUUUUCAUAUG